AGGCCUGUAGCUCAGUAGGACAGAGCACUAGAUUCCUAAUCUGGGGGUCGCCGGUUCGACUCCGGCCAGGCCUACCA
rnacentral:tRNA from 1 species